rnacentral:sRNA from 1 species
AAUCCGGAUUUAGUGGCCAAUGUAAACGGAGUUUAAUGCCCAUAUUCACAAAACUUAGAACAGCUUUAUAGUAGGGUUAUUUGACAGUUCUUAAAGGAAAUCUGUCAAAUAAGCCUACUUUAACGCUACUUCAAGUUUUGUGAAUACGGGUGUAAGUGUGCACACAGUGGUAAUAUACUAUGACACCGAUGACCCUUUAGGGUUACCAACGUAGUAUUUUAUCGUCGACCUACCGAUCGUUUCGACCUUCUAAAAUGUUACAUGCGACUCCAAAUGCCUCGGAUUAACCAAGUUUAUUGACGGCAGUAAAUGUGUUCACACAUGACGUCCUCGCUUGAGCACUACACAACUUUAUGCAUUCUGUGAUCGUCCGGAUCUCUCUCUGCAGGACCGUAUUAUGGUCAGGGAUUCGGAAACAGAUGUCAGUUCCUGGGUCCGUGUAGCAUGUACUUCCAGAUGGCGAUACCAAAGCUUCGUCAAUCCAAGACUGUGCCAGUGGCAGCUGUGCUUCGCAAUGGUCAUCAAGUGUCAUCUCAGUUAUUCCAUCCAGUUUUCCUACCGUCGACUCGCUAAUACGCAAAGGUAUGAACUUCUCGUACCCUCUAUUACCCUCAUUCCUUUAUCGUCUUAAGCAUCAGGGAGUCGGUGGCUGUCUCACACAUAAUCUGUAUGUCGAUGGAUCGGAUAUGUAAAAUCAAAAUCUUACUCUCUAAAUACCUCUCAUGUAAUA